rnacentral:misc_RNA from 1 species
AAGAAAUUGAAAAAGUUGUCGUCCUUUGAGAAUCUGCAACUCCUCACCCUGGAGAGAGAUGAAUUAAACCACGGGAAAAAAAAAGUGAGAGAGAAUCUGUCUUAAACUCCUUGGGUUUUAACAUAAUCGAAGAGUCUCUCUAUAAUUUUCGAUCUCUCUCUACCGUUCUCUUCUUUCCGAGCUCGGUUUUUGUCUCUUUGGCCUUCUGAUUCUCCAUUUCUCGGAAAAAUGGAUGGGUCAACUCACCGAAUUAGCAGUAGUGUUGAUGUGUUUUUACCAAAUUACAAACUUGGUAAAACUCUUGGAAUUGGUUCCUUUGGUAAGGUGAAAAUUGCAGAGCAUGCACUGACUGGCCAUAAAGUUGCCAUCAAGAUACUCAACCGCCGGAAGAUAAAGAACAUGGAGAUGGAAGAAAAAGUGAGAAGAGAAAUCAAAAUCCUGAGAUUGUUUAUGCACCCUCACAUUAUAAGAUUAUAUGAGGUUAUAGAAACACCAACUGAUAUAUAUGUCGUGAUGGAGUAUGUGAAGUCUGGAGAGCUUUUUGAUUAUAUUGUGGAGAAGGGUAGGCUACAGGAAGAUGAGGCACGUAAUUUCUUCCAGCAGAUAAUUUCUGGUGUGGAAUACUGCCACAGGAAUAUGGUUGUUCAUAGAGAUCUUAAGCCUGAGAAUUUGCUUUUGGAUUCUAAAUGCAAUGUGAAGAUAGCAGAUUUUGGAUUAAGCAAUAUAAUGCGAGAUGGACAUUUUCUAAAGACAAGUUGUGGAAGCCCAAAUUAUGCUGCCCCAGAGGUGUGGAGUUAUGGCAUUAAUUUAAUAUGCAAUUCUGAACUUUAAAGUGGGAACAGGAUAAUUCCCCUAUCCUCUUGUAUUCAAGUAAACUGUAUGGUUCUUAUUCAAUUAUCUUAAUUCAAAGGUUUUGUCAUUCUUUCUGUAGGUCAUCUCUGGGAAAUUGUAUGCUGGGCCUGAAGUGGAUGUAUGGAGCUGUGGGGUUAUUUUAUAUGCUCUUCUCUGUGGUACCCUUCCUUUUGAUGAUGAAAACAUUCCCAACCUCUUUAAGAAAAUCAAGGUAUUGGGGAUUCAUUUUGAUCUGAAUGUACUGAUGUUUAUCUUACCAAGCUUACACAUUGGUGGAUAUUCUAACUGCUAUUAUGGAUUCACUGGAGUUUAUUCAUUUUGUGGAGUUCUUUUGCCUUUGUAUCUUUUCAAUUGACCAUUUUGUUUGAGUGCCUAACUAAUAUUUAUUGUUUUGUGAACAUUAGUUCUGCAGUCUCAAUUUUGGAAAGUCAGUGCAGGAUUGACGUUUCAUUAUUUGCAUUUAUAUUAUAUCCCUAGUGGUUUUACAGGAGUAUAGGAGAGUGAAAAUUUAACCAAGAUGUGAGCCAUCCAUCACUUGGCAGUUGGCACACAACUUUAUUGCCAGUUUGCACUGUUUUAUCUGAUCGAACAAAGUUGCAGGCAGGAAUGAGAUGAUUCAAAUUAUCAUCUGAUUUGAUCUUUUCAUAGAGGAUAAGAUUCCAUGUUUUCUUUUCCCAUGAAAGAUUUUUGUACAAUCAUAGGGAUUAUUUGCAUUUAAUGGUUGGUAUUAUAUGUGCUCUUCUGUUCUAUGUACUCUUCUGUUCUUUCUCUUUAUUGUCCCUUGUAUAUUAGUUCUGUAAUUUCUGAUUCCAAACCUGAGUUUUCUGUAAUAUUACACUUGCUAUAGAUUGAACUUAUCUUAUCCCACAUGACAAAUCCUUUAGGGUGGGAUAUAUACUCUUCCUAGCCAUUUAUCACCUGGUGCUAGAGAUUUGAUUCCAAGGAUGCUUGUGGUUGAUCCAAUGAAGCGAAUGACCAUCCCUGAAAUCCGUCAGCACCCAUGGUUUCAAGCUCGCCUUCCCCGUUAUUUGGCUGUCCCUCCACCAGAUACAAUGCAACAGGCUAAAAAGAUUGAUGAAGAAAUUCUCCAGGAAGUGGUCAAGAUGGGAUUUGACAGAAACCAACUUAUUGAAUCUCUUCGCAGCAGAAUACAAAAUGAUGCUACUGUUGCAUACUAUUUGUUAUUGGACAAUCGAUUUCGUGUUUCCAAUGGCUAUCUUGGAGCUGAGUUUCAAGAAACAAUGGAUUGUGGUUUCAACCGUAUGCAUCCAAAUGAACCUACUUCUCCAGCAGUUGGGCAUCGCCUUCCAGGAUACAUGGAUUAUCAAGGGGCGGGUUUAAAAGCACAGUUCCCGGUUGAUAGGAAAUGGGCUCUUGGACUUCAGUCACGAGCCCACCCUCGUGAAAUAAUGACAGAAGUCCUCAAAGCCCUGCAAGAACUAAAUGUGUGUUGGAAGAAAAUUGGUCACUACAAUAUGAAGUGCAGGUGGAUCCCAGGCAUUCCUGGUCUUCAUGAAGGCAUGAUUAAUGACCCUCUGCAUAAUAAUCAUUUCUUUGGGGAUGAAUCCACCAUUAUCGAGAAUGAUGGAGUCAUUAAGCCACCAAAUGUGGUGAAGUUUGAAGUGCAGCUUUACAAAACUCGCGAGGAGAAAUACCUGCUCGACUUACAAAGGGUUCAAGGACCCCAAUUUCUCUUCUUAGAUCUUUGUGCAGCUUUUCUUGCACAACUCCGAGUCCUUUAGCAGGAGAAAGGGUAGACUUUCGAGACCUCUGUCCACAGACCUCUUCUUAUGCCUGUGAAUAAGAAAUCACGGUGUAAAUAACUGUCUUUCAGUCUUAGUCUCAUGUUUACUGCUUUUAAUUUCUCCCUCAAUUUUAUAUGGGUGAUUGUUGUGUAAAAGCCAACAUCCAAAAGCACAAGUUGGCUAACUUACUAUUGAUCUGUUUUGAUAGUCUGUUAUCUCUCGCUAGGAUUUUCCUUAAUACUAUUAACCUUAUGGGGAAUUUCAUAAUUUCUAAGAAAGGAUUAACCUCUUCUUCCAUUCAUUGUUGCUUUUCAGCACAAAUGUAAUUAUUCUUCUCAUAUUUUUGCUUAUAGCUGUGUUUGUAAUUAUAGAUUCCAAAUUGUUUCCGCUGUACUGCUUUUAACUGCCAAAAUAUAAAUUUGC